UGUGUAAAGGAGAGAGAGCGAUUGGCUAGGCUAGAACCCUAGCCGCCGCCUCCUCUCACACCCGCGUGGCCUCUCCGACCUGCUUCCUCUCCUCACCUCGCACCCCUCGCGCUGCCACCCUCCCAACCUCUCAUCUUCCAGCGCCUCCUCCCCGUCAGCUCGAUCUCUCCACUCCCAGCCGGUCAUCCUUCUCUUGCAUCGCCCGGAGGGGUGCAGCCGCCGCCGCUCGCAUUUGUUACUCCCCCUGCCCCCACCUUGCGAGCUCGCACAUCUGCUCCGCCCAGAGGCGUCGCCAUUGACCGCCGGAGGACCGUGCCGCAGCCAAACUCGAGGACAACCACUGCUAUGGCCCGUGGAGUUGCAAGUGGAAGGUUGAACCGGCGAUGGCAGCUGUAGCGUGACAGACGACAUCAGCAACAAGCAAUUACUCAUCUUUGCAUCAGCAACAGAUGGAUGAUGGAAUUGUUUCAAUCUGGAUAUUUUGCUUGGAAAAAAUUAUCACGUACAGUACCAGAAGGGUGAGAGUGAAUUUCAAACGGCUUAUGACAAAGGAAUGCCCAAAUCAAAGUUCUGGGAGCCUGCAUAUGAAGAUUGCUUAAAUAUGAUUGCUCUACCGCAUGUACUCCCCCGUUGCUCCUCUACUCCAGGUCCUCCCCCCUCUCUCUGCCUCUCUCUCUCUAUGACCGCUGCUCCCAUCAUCUUGGAACUGCAGGAGACGAACAUGUCGUCUUAGGAUCGGACGUUGCUGGUCGCCGGCUUGGCCUGCAAGAGGAUGCCCCCUGCUCUGACUUGUUCACAUCUUAGUGUUUCACCAAUGAAGAUGUAUUUUCAAGGUAGAUUGGUUCUUUUCUGGCCUACUAAUUUACCAUUGACUUUGUUACAUAUGCAUAUGUGUGGAAAGAUAUGUGAAUUAGCAAGCAGAUAGCUCGCAACCGUCUAAAUCCCUUGAUGCCCCUUGCGUGCCACCUAAUAGUGUUGGAUUGGUUGUAAAUGAUUCUUUGUUGGUGGCAGCAUUGAAUUAGCAAGCAUGCCACACAUUUGCCACAUUGAUCUUUGCAUAUGCUAUAAUUUUCAUGUUAUUUUUUAUCUGACAUAUCAAGGUUUUUGAUUCUCCUAGCCAAGUCGAGUCGCCAUGCCUCCGACCAGUGGCUCGCUGCGAUUAGUCUGUGACUCGUCGUGAUUAAUCGCCCCAAGUUGCCCCAGGUGUUAAGAGGAGGAGGAGGGGGGAGGUGCUAUUGCAGGCGAAGGAGGGGGUAGGAAACUGCUUGGGAGGAUACUUCAGCUCAGAGAAGGCAGCAGCAGCUCGUAGGAGCAAUGGAGGCGGUGAUUCUGAUCUGUGAUGGGAGCACGCGUCUUGCUCCUCCUCUGUUUCAUGCUAGAGAGCUGGCCCAAUAGGCCCAUUAUGUAACCCUAGCUUCCAAAUAAAAUCCAAACCGUCCAUAUGCUCUAAUCUGGACCGCGCAUCUGCUCUCCCACGUGCCUUUCUCCUUUGUCUCUUUCGUGCUUCUCUUCGUACACGCGGCGCACUCUCCAGCUUUGUCUCCUCCUCCCCUGCCUUGGACUCAGGCCUCCUCACCUUCCCGGUCUUGCCAUCCCUUGGCCUUGCUUAAGCAAGCCGCCCUGCUUUGAGGUCCUAGUCGCCUGACUAGUCGUAGACUAAUCAUCGACUAGCCUACCAGCCGCGCGGCUCGCUCCUCUAGCCAAGUCGCCUGCACAAGCCAACCUCUCCCCAACGACUUGGCGAUUAGUCAGAGAUUAGUCGGCGACUCAAAAACCUUGUGACGUAUAAUUCCCAAUGGAAACCGUCGAUAGGAAUACGAUAGCAUGCAGCACCCGGUCCUAUGUGAGCGCAUUUUUUUAUCUCUGGUAUACACUAAAAAAAUGAGCACAUAUAUUUGUUGGUAAGCAAUUUUUUUCGCAACAAUUACUGUCGUUGAUUGUAUGUUCCAAAAAUAGUGAACACUUUUUGUGGACCCAAAACACAAAGAGAUAGAUGUCAUAUGUGCUUUUAUGUUUCUGAUCCCCCUUUUCUAGUGCUUCAUACAACAAAGAACCAGAGUCAUCGAUGCAGAGGAUCAUUAUCGCGUCCGCUGGCUGAGGGGCAAGCUGGGGCUGUAGUCCUUGAACAUAGUGGUUCUACUGUGAGGAUCUCAUCUCUCUCACUAUGCGCGUAUCUCUCUCUGUCCUGUCUCCCUUUUUGCUAAUCAUUCACGCCUUUCAUGAUCACUAAGUUUUUUUUAGUUUUGUAGUUGUCGAUUGCUGGGAGAAUGAUUAUCCUGAUUAAUUAAGAUUUAAAUGUGUUAGACCAGACCAAGAUGGAUUAGUUUUGAUGUAUAUUUUGGGUUAGGAAAAUGUCAAACCUUAACAUUUAGAAGAAGCUUUACAUAGUUGGAUCCAUUACAGUGCUGCCUUGGUCGUUGUCGUAGGUGAAGGCCUUGCAUUGGGACUCUGUGCCUCCUAAACUAACAACAAAUGAACUUGCCUUUAGGAUUUUUGCACUGCACUGUGCAUCCAGGUCCAACCCAAUGGUUAGGACGGUGGUUCUUGCAUAGCAUACAUGGAUAUGGUACAUGUGGGGAAGAAAUAUAAGAAACUCAUGCUCAUUAGCGAGGGCAGAGGUCAUAUAGUCAUCAAGGACAUCCUUAGUGUCUUCCACUCCAUCACCUUCUGCUCGGCCACUUUCAGUAAGUACCUUUAUACAAAUCCCCAUUGGACCAAUUAACAUGCUGAAUAUUGUUUCAUACAGUACCUGGCAAAUGGCCAAUCGAGUAAAUGUGGGUUUGGUGCAUUGGUAUGUCCUAUGCAGAGCUUUGAGAUUUGUUUAGGCGCAGAGUGUUCAUGUUAAUCUCCAUGUGUGUGUUCUAGGACAAGAGGAUAUGGGAUAUCUGUGGGGAAAACUUUGUUUUUGCCACUCUAGUUUUUGCCAACUUUGCUUAUGCCACUUUAGAAUUUGAGAUUUCACUUUUGCCACUCUUAGCUUUUGAUAAUAUAUCACUUUUGCCAUUCCGUGGCAAAAGCAAAAAAUUUAGAGUGGCAAUUGUGAUACAUGUCAAAAGCUAAGAGUGGCAAAAGUGAAAUGAAAAAUUAUCGUUUUUGCCACGAAAUGGAAUUUGUGAUGUAUUGUCAAAAGCUAAGGGUGGCAAAAGUGAGAUGUCAAAUUCUAGAGUGGCAUAAGCAAAGUUGGCAAAAACUAGAGUGGCAAAAACAAAGUUUUCCCAUAUCUGUGUUGUGUGUAUGCAGGCAAUUCCCAUGUUUCAGACUCAGUAGUCACUAUUUUUUUGAAGCAGUCAAACUACUAGCAAGAAUAGAUGGCCAGCUUAAUAUUUUCUAUUUCAUGCAUGAUUGAAAUGGCGAAUGUGCUAGAAAAAGAAGAAUUUUGUAACUCCCAAUCUGAGUCAAGCUACUAGCAAUGAGUAGAUGGUCAGCUUAAUAGAUUUUUUAAAUGGGUACGGAAUUGGCAGCAGAUAAAGGGUGAUAGCUUUGCAGUGUGAAUCAUUUUCUAGGCCGCCACCGAUCAUAAAUUGGUGAUAUUGUAGUAGAACUGUGGAAGAACCUUGCUGCAGAUAUCAAAUUUGAUUCAUUUUCUUAUUACAACUAUAUUAGUCUUUUUUGCAAAUUAACUAUUCUUUGUAAGGUCACAAUAUACAACAAAUUAAAAGUAUGAUUCUAGGAUUCUUAUAUGAAGCUGUGUAUUUUGGUCACUUAUGUAUGUUUGUGGGGUCUACUACCUUUUGUUAUGCUUCGUGAAGUACGACAUAGGCGCUUUAUGAACUACCACUAAUUGUUACCCAUCAUGUGGUGUUUGCAUCCUUUUGCAUCGUCUUCGGCCAAAACAUGCUACAUGUAGGUUCUCUUGGGUGUUAUUAUGUUUUAUGUACUAUUAUCAUGACUUGCCUUUGGUAUAUCAUGCUAGGCAAAGAAGACUAUGUACAACCUCUUCUUUUUGAAGCCCUCGGCCCCUCACGACCUGUUGAAGUUGAGGGCAGUAGCUCACACUGUGAGGGGCUUCAGCAACGGGGCCUAUUAUGCACAUGAUGGUGUGAUACUCUCCUGGGUAGAGCUCAUCCAUGGCUUGCGUGAGUAUCCCCAAAGGCGGGUGGUAUGGCAAGCCGCGGGGAGCUCAGGAUAGGGUCAGCAGCUUCAACAGUUUGAACUGCACCAAUGCAACUGUAUGUCUCUAGAGUAUGUACUCAGCUCAAAAAAAAUCUCAAGUGUAUAUCUUCUCGAGACAUGACAUGGAUGAACACUGACAUGCUUGCUGCAAUCCCAUUAUGAACCACGUGCUUCUACUUCUCUCUGAAUUCGUAUUUUGAACAUGGUGAAUUUCUGGGAAUGUAGUUUCAUCUUUGCUAUUUAUGUCUGUAUAUUUGUGAAUACAUACAUGGUCAGUUAGUUUUCUUGGUAAACAUAAGAAUUUAGGUUCACAUAAACACCCACUUUUAUGUUGGCUACAUAUUAGUUACACUGAUGCACUACUCAAGCUUUGCUUUCCUUAUAUGGAAAUUUCAUCCGUGAAGUAUGUUGUACCAGCCUUAUGGCUUGCUGAAUAUUGCUCUCGCUAAUCGAUUGCUGCUAUGCAUAUUCUACUUUGCCUGUCUGGGGUAAAUUGAAGGAUGUGUCAUUGGCUGAUGAGGUUAUCCCCACUAAAGCCAAGAAGGCCAGGCGCAACUAAAACCAGGAAGGCCAAUUCUUGUUAAGUGCUCGCCCUUUUGUCUAUAUAUAUGCAGGACCUUAUCAUUUUGUCUGUGGAUGUGCGAAAGAAUGAUGUCUGGAUAUGGGAGUGUCUCUUUAGAUGUAGAUAUAGAUAGUGCCUCAAGCAACUAAACCGCAUAUGGGGUUUUAACAUUGUCUUUGGUGGAAAAGGCCCUCAAUUCUCGACCAUUGUUCUAUUUCCGAUUUCUUGCUUGGUUGUGUAGAUGUCGUGGGUAUUGUAGUCAAGGUUUCUGAUGUACUCUUGUUCCAGCCGCAACCAUGGCAAACUGUGACACUUACUAUGAAUCAGAAGUAGUUAUGUCUAUCUCUCUA